CUGGGCUGGAUCAUUCUUGACAAAGGGGAAAUCCUCAUUUGAAUUUGUUUUUUCUUUCGACUUGGUCCAUUAGAAGCUGCCUUCGAUGUCCGGGAAGAUGUUCUUUUUGUUGGGGGUCUGCCUCUCCUUUUCUUAACAGGUUCAGGACUAGUGUGAGGAGGAGGGGUCACUGAGUUCACCGGAUGCCCUGCACGUGGAGGCACCUUGACCAGGUGAGGAGAAGAUUGAGUCAAAGGGGUCAAACGGGUUCCCAUGUCUGUCAAGGCGUGUUUCAAAUAGAGAGGGAAAUGGUCAGCCAUAUGCGAGAGCAGGUGGCAGAAGGAACAAUGAUUCUCCAGCUUUUCGUAGCUUAGGGUGACCAGAACUUCAGACCCUCCUCGAAAUACAACAAUCGUAUCCUGGGUCACAGGGUUUAAGCCGUUGAUUUCUACACGGAUUCGUGCAUAAGUUUUUGUGAUCUCAAAAUCUUGGAAGCUGCCAAUUUCAUUACCAAUGUUUCUGAGUAGCUCGUCUUUCCAGUAGUGUAGGGGGAGCCCUGAGAGCCUGAUCCAGAAAGGGAUUUUUGAGGGACUUUCGCCGAGAUGACUGGUUCCCAUUUCUCCAAGAUAAUCAUUCAUUUGUUAUAGUGGUAGGGUUGAUUAUUGAGCACUUGUAGCAUAUCCUCUUCAAGAUCAAACCGGAACUGAAAGCAAUGGUUACCUAGGUCAUAUCCAGUGCCUUUUCCUCUCAGAUUCCACUGUCGGGUCAUGUAGGGAAUCAUAUUCAAGAGUAUUUGUUCAUCCAGGUUCUGCGAAAACUCCUUUUCUUUUCUCGGCGUAGGAGAAGUGGCGUGCCAUUUGGGUUGUGAUGGCCGGUAGGGAGAAAGCAGGGCAAGGAGGUCAGCGUCGAGCCAAGGAAACCGGUGCUUCAGGGGAGAGGUCUCAAAAACUGUAAACCGGAGGAGGAGACUAUUCCCGGAGGUGGUGGACUCAAGAGUGAGGAGGCUAGGCGUAAAGGUCAGGCAGAAGCAGCAGGCAGGAGAUGGAGCACCUAAGAGUUGUCAGAAAUCAGGAGCAGAUUUGAAGAAGCUUCCAUUUGUGCAGCUGUGAACGGAGAAGAGCAUUCAGGCAUUCUUCUUGUGAGCGUUGCGGCGUCGGCGGACCCUCCGACCCUUAGGUGGGGGUGGAACCACGGUGAAGGGAGACCCAAGCGGUUUUGGUUUUGAAGAAAACUUACUAUUUUUGGCAAAAACCAGAUAGAAACAUGUCACUAUCUCAAAAAACCAGACCAUUGAGACUAUCUUGGGACGUGGGCCUGAGAGAGUUUUUAGGCAAGAACUUUCAUAUGAAC